rnacentral:rRNA from 1 species
CCUCAAGGAAGAUAAUGACGGUACUUGAGGAGGAAGCCCCGGCUAACUACGUGCCAGCAGCCGCGGUAAGACGUAGGGGGCUAGCGUUAUCCGGAUUUACUGGGCGUAAAGGGUGCGUAGGCGGUCUUUCAAGUCAGGAGUGAAAGGCUACGGCUCAACCGUAGUAAGCUCUUGAAACUGGGAGACUUGAGUGCAGGAGAGGAGAGUGGAAUUCCUAGUGUAGCGGUGAAAUGCGUAGAUAUUAGGAGGAACACCAGUUGCGAAGGCGGCUCUCUGGACUGU